GCCUCGUCUGAGAUGUGCGGAAAGCUCGCAUCAGUUUAAAGAUACAUGAAUUCUGCUCUGUCAUAACCGUACGAUGCCAGAAGACCUGCUGCUGCUUCGAGUGACUGCUUGUCUGAUGGGGCUCAGUUCUGAAGUCCAAAAUGAGAUUCCUCUGCUUAAGGACUGGCUAUUCAGAGAUGCACUUGGAGUCCUGCAACUGCUCCUGAAAUCAGUGGGAACUGACUUCAAGCACCACUGAAACAUGCUGCUGGCUCUCCCAGAUGACUUUUUUUUAAUUGAAGACGCUUGGAUGUUACAAGGUGCUUCUAACAAGAAGAAUGCAGUGCGUGUUGUACACCGAAGUCAUACUAUUUUCUCUGCAACAAGUACAGAAGCAGCUGUAUUUGCAUUACUCACUUGCAGGGCGUGAAUCAUCUAUCCGUUGUGAAAACCUCCCGAGGUCGCCUCUUCCCCCUCCUCACUCCUGGUGCUUGUGUUACUGUGUACAAGCAGGGCUUACUGUAGCAGGAUAUUAACAAAGACCUCACUCCGUGCAUUGACUUGUUACAACCUUCUCUGAAAACCGGACGGACUUCCCCGAUGGGGCAGGGGAACCCUUCCCUACUGCUCCAGUCUCUGGGAGCCGGAUGAGACAAAGGAGGUGGUUCCGGGACUCCAAUAUCUCACACAACUCAACUACACUUGAUUAUUAUUUGCUUCUCACAACCUGAAAAGAAACCUACUACCAGAUUUGUCUGUCUCAACCCCGCUGAAGCUGAAUACUUUCAUACAUAUGUAUGGAUAGCUUAAGUUUUUAUGAGCAUAAUUUGGGCUUUUCAAAAUAGUGACACAAUAACAAAGCAAAAUUGAGACACGCAUGUAAUUUGAAUACUGAUUUGGUUUUAUCUCUUCCUGGUGCUGGCACUUUUGAUGCUGCUCUUUUCCAUUCCAUCUCCUUUCUGUUCUUAUUUCCCAAUGAAUGGAAUUAGCCGUGAGUGCACUUGCUGCUUCUGCCAACCAAAUACGGAACCUGAGGAAAUGUGUAUCUGUGACCUCCCAAAGAGUUUUGGACAGUUACUCAUUUGCUGUUAACUCCGGGUUCUCUAUUAGCUGCUUAAAGGUGUGUUCCCGAUCCCCUUCUCCAUUAGGAAAAUGAGCACUGGCAGACGGCUCUCACGGUGCUUCUUGGCAUUUUGAGCAACAUCAGCCCUGAUUUUUAUUUGCAGCCAUGUAGCAUUGCAAGGAGGUUAUUGCGAAGGAUGCCUCUGCCUGCGUUGCAGGGCAGAUGCCUGCAGUGAGCUGUAUGCAGCAGCUGGCAGACUCAGGGCAGUGUUCACCUGAGGGUGAACAGAAGGCGCUUCACCAACCAUUGACUGGUUCACAACGUCCAAGUCCAUGUCUGCCUCUGAUGCUGGGUUUUGCUGUUAUUAAAGGGUCCUCUACAGUAGGGAAUUAGGUCUAACGAAGCUCUGCUGUAUCUCCUCACACUUUCUUGACGUGUUGGAGUAACAGGCAAAACCCCAGACCCACCUCGUCUACAUGAAAGCCCAGAGGCGCCUCGUAUGCAGCUGCAGCCAGAUUGGAACAGUUUAAUGCUGUGGAGAAUUUGGUCCUAGAAAUUAUUCACAGAAAGUACUCAGUGAAUAAUUUCAAAGAGAAAAUUAAAAAGUGCUCAAGGGCAAUCUAUGAAGAACAGAAAAAGGGGGUUAAAUUCACCUAAUAAAUUAUUUGCAGAUUGAAUAAUUCA
ensembl:lncRNA